rnacentral:lncRNA from 1 species
UAAGUUCAUUUGAAGCAUAUAUAUAUUUUUAAAGUGUUAAGUGCAGAAAAAAAUAAUAGCAGUGGUUAAAAGCGGGGGUGGGGGGAGAAACGCGUGUAAGGGUGUGAGUUACCAACGCAUCUAAAUAAGUUCCCGCUCAGAAUUUAUACAUUCAGGAGGGUGAGAGUAGAUCAUGCAGGAAAAGGGCCAAAAUUUUUUUUCCUUUUGCAUGCAGAAAAAGGAAAAAAUGCUUCUAACUUAAAAUGCAGGUUUUUUCGGAUAGAAGUAGUCCUUGAAUCCCUGCCCCACCCCACCGCCGCCCCGUCUUUCAGAAAUUCCUCUUCUGGAAUUGGGGCCUUAGACCACGCGCUUCCCCAGGAAACAAUCAGAUUAAUUUCCAACUGGGUGGAAGGAAGUGGUAUCUAAAAAUGAAAAAAUGAACAAGGGAGGCUCUAAUGGCAAUGCCUCAGGGACUUGCUCCCUCCUUCACCACCGUUUCCCUUUUCAUCUGUAGGCUCUAGGUUCUGCGGCGCGUUGAGGUGGCGGGCAAGGAAGAGCCUCUCCCUCCUCGCCCCGCGGGCGGUCUCGGCGCCCGGCGCGCGCGGGCCCUUUAAGAGCUACACCAGCCGAGCUGCAGUUUGACAUCAGCCGGCCGGCGUGGGCGCGCCUGGAGCCGGAGCACGUGCCAGGAUGUUUUAUUGCCGCCGCGGCUGCGGCCGGGCCGGGAGGAUGUGUGCGUGCGUGCGUGUGUGUGAGUGUGUGUGCGCGCGCCCCGGGGGCAGGGAGGCGGGGGGCGGCGGCGGGCGGCGGAGAGCGGGGGCCGGUUCCUGGUCCCCGGGAGAAGCCAAGAAGCCUUAAGAAUGGAAGAUGUGAAUGGAGAAGGAAUGAAGGGGCUUAUUGUGUUUGGAUUCCAAGGUGGAGAAGAGUAAACCAUCUGCCCACAUCUGAACUGGCUGACCGGGGCUUUCCUGCAGGGAAGGGAAGAUUCCAGUACCAUUCCAUUUGUGGAUGUCUCUGA